rnacentral:rRNA from 1 species
AGUGAACGCUGGCGGUAGGCCUAACGCAUGCAAGUCGAACGGCAGCACAGUAAGAGCUUGCUCUUACGGGUGGCGAGUGGCGGACGGGCGAGGAAUACAUCGGAAUCUACUUUUUCGAGGGGGAUAACGUAGGGAAACUUACGCCAAUACCGCAUACGACCUACGGGUGAAUGCAGGGGAUCUUCGGACCUUGCGCGAUUGAAUGAGCCGAUGUCGGAUUAGCUAGUUGGCGGGGUAAAGGCCCACCAAGGCGACGAUCCGUAGCUGGUCUGAGAGGAUGAUCAGCCACACUGGAACUGAGACACGGUCCAGACUCCUACGGGAGGCAGCAGUGGGGAAUAUUGGACAAUGGGCGCAAGCCUGAUCCAGCCAUACCGCGUGGGUGAAGAAGGCCUUCGGGUUGUAAAGCCCUUUUGUUGGGAAAGAAAAGCAGCAGGUUAAUACCCCGCUGUUCUGACAGUACCCAAAGAAUAAGCACCGGCUAACUUCGUG